ensembl:lncRNA
GUGUGGGGUAGCGAUUUUCAUUUCAUCCAAUCACAAGCAAGAGUGUGGGCGAUCGCCUUUGUUGUGGUGCGUGUCCCCUUGGAGACCCUCGUGUGAAAGAAAGCCGACAUGUGUCCGGUGUCGUAGAAUUGUUGGCUAUUAAUUAAUUCAUCAGGCAGGCAAGAAUGAGUCAAGAUGUUGGAGCACGAUGCCAUGAGGCAUCACCGAAGACGGGUUAUCUGAUGUGAUCUGUAUUGGUGCGGAUCGCUACUGGUAGGCUACUCUCAGUUUGAAACCAUCACUGUUUCUGGAGAAGUUCCCCGGACUCUUCCCUGCAAAGCGACUGAUACUUAACUGUGAAAAGUAAAGGCUCGUUAUCUGCUCCACCCAAGGAGACUCAAUCAAGAUGGAUGGAAACCUGAACAAUUAGCUCAGGGCCUCGUCUGUCUGUUUCGGCGUGGAGAAGAACACCACCACACACACAGACACACACACACACAGACACACAGACACACAGACACACACACGCCUGGCGCUCUGAAUGAGCGGGGAUCCGAGCCAGUGAGCUGCGGGUGGAGCGGAGCGGCGCGGAGGCCCGCGGAGGCCUGAUUAAAAUGGGGCCCAGGAUCUGUCUGCCUUCUGUCUGCGAGCCUGAGGGCGUCUGGCCGAGCCGGCGGCCAUGCCAGAUGUAAAGUCCCCUCCAUCAUGUGACUACCCCCUGGCCUCCUCCGACCCCACAGGCUCCCCCUCCAGGUGUGCCUCCUUCUUCAGCCCGGACAUGGAAGUGGACCCCUGCCUCCCCAGCCACCCC